rnacentral:rRNA from 1 species
UUAGCUACGGGGCGCAGCAGUGAGGAAUAUUGGUCAAUGGCCGGAAGGCUGAACCAGCCAAGUCGCGUGAGGGAAUAAGGCCCUAUGGGUCGUAAACCUCUUUUGUCAGGGAGCAAAGGCGUCCACGAGUGGACGAAAGGAGAGUACCUGAAGAAAAAGCAUCGGCUAACUCCGUGCCAGCAGCCGCGGUAAUACGGAGGAUGCGAGCGUUAUCCGGAUUUAUUGGGUUUAAAGGGUGCGUAGGCGGAGUGUCAAGUCAGCGGUAAAAUUUCGGGGCUCAACCCCGGCCCGCCGUUGAAACUGGG